AUGAGUGCAAUUCAAGUUCGGGAUAUCUUGAAAAAAUAUUGGGAUGCUUCAGGUCAGCAUAUAAACACAGAUAAGUCCUCAAUUUACUUCAGCAAAGGGGUCCCAGAGGCCCUAAGGAAUGAAGUCAAGGAUGUGCUUGGUGUACAUAAUGAAUCUUUGUCAGAGAAAUACCCAGGCUUACCCAUAGAUGUUGGGAAGUCAAAAGAAGGGUGCUUCAGAUAUUUGAAGGAUAGAAUCUGGAAGCAUGUUCAAGGAUGGAUGGAGAAGUGUAUUUCUGCAGGUGGGAAAGAGCAGUUGAUUAAGUCAGUUGCACAAUCUAUACGGACAUAUUCCAUGGCAUGUUUCAAAUUACCAAGGGGUCUGUGUGAGCACAUUAAUGGUCUCUUGCAAAAAAUUUGGUGGGGUAAGGUGAACGGAAGACGGCAUGGGUCUUGUGGAAGACUAUGUGCAAGCCCAAGUUUAGGGGGGAGGGGGUGGGCUUCCGGGACAUUGAACUUUUUAAUCUUGCUCUGUUGGCUCGACAAGCUUGGAGGCUAUUAUAGACUCGGAAUCUCUAGGCGCUCGCAUUCUGAAGAAAAGAUAUUAUCCACAAUGUGA
rnacentral:rRNA from 1 species